UGCCAUGACCACCAAUCAGCCGGAGCGACGCCCGUGGGCCACAGCAAAAUGCCUUCAGAAUGCUCCGAGCUGCGGGCAGAACCCUGAUGUUAUCAUUCAGUCUUUGCCAGUGGCUUUUGGCCCCGCGGAAAGGGGAAGGAGGGCGGACGUGCACCAGUCUACACUGGGAUCGGCGGCGGAGAGACGGUAGACUUGGGUGAAGGAGUAAUCACUGCCAAGAAUGGCAUACUGCCAGCCAUUUAUUUGGAGAGGCUGAAAAACCAUGGCACCACGAGACGGAAAGGUCUGCUUUUCCACAAAUCUGGAGGCUUCCCAUUUCAUCAGCUUGGAGUCUCCUAUGAACCUGAUUCCAGCAGCGGCAAUCCCUUGUGUCUCCAUGUGAAUGUGACUUGAGUUGGAGUGUAUGAGCUAUAAAGAGCAUUUGGACAAACUUGGAUUGUUUUCUCUGGAGCUUUGGACACAGAGAAGCCCAAAAUUAUGAAAACCAUAAAUAGGGUAGGCAGUCAGACUUUUCCCCUAGAGGACACAGGUUUAAUGUGAGAGGGGGAGGUUGAAAGGAGAUAUAUGAGGCUAGUAUUUUUUUAAACACAGAGAGUAGUAGGUGCUGGGACAUCUUACCAGGAAAUGACAGAAUCAGAUACUAUAGCUGGAGAUGAAGGGAUAUAGACCGUAUGCAGGAAGAUGGGAUUAAUUCAGAUUGGCAUCAUGGUUGGCACUGACAUUGUGGGCCAAAGGGCCUAUUUAUGUACUGUACUGUUCUAUGUUUACUGUCAUAUUGUGUUAGACUGCAAGCUAACAGAAGUUUCAGAGAAACUGAUGUCUUUCACCCACGAUGUCAUCUCACCACAUGUUCCACUGAUCUGACCACAGAGAAAAUCCCAGAUGAACAGCUUAAAUAAUCAACAGAUGAACUAGAAGAGAACAACAAACUUGAACUUGGAACUUGAGCUCAGAGUGGGGUGAAAUGGAAUGAAGCACAAACAGUGGAAUUGAUUAUUUUAACCAAAUGGACUAUUAUUAUGCUAUUUGUGUAUUUAUUUCUAAAUACACUUAGAUAGCAUGUUACAUGAUAAUGGAUGACAGUAUUUCUAUUUUGUACUAUGCCUGUAUUACAGCAAUAAACUAACUAU